rnacentral:rRNA from 1 species
GAUGAACGCUAGCGGCAGGCCUAACACAUGCAAGUCGAGGGGUAGAGUUAGCUUGCUAACUUGAGACCGCGCAACGGGUGCGUAACGCGUAUGCAUCUACCCUUACUGAAGGUAUAGCCCAGAGGAAUUUGGAUUAAUACCUCAUAGUAUUAUUGAGUGGCAUCAUUUGAUAAUUAAAGUUCCAACGGUAAAAGAUGAGCAUGCGUCCCAUUAGUUAGUUGGUAAGGUAACGGCUUACCAAGACUAUGAUGGGUAGGGGUCCUGAGAGGGAGAUCCCCCACACUGGUACUGAGACACGGACCAGACUCCUACGGGAGGCAGCAGUGAGGAAUAUUGGACAAUGGGCGCAAGCCUGAUCCAGCCAUGCCGCGUGCAGGAAGACGGUCCUAUGGAUUGUAAACUGCUUUUAUACAGGAAGAAACACUCCCUCGUGAGGGAGCUUGACGGUACUGUAGGAAUAAGGAUCGGCUAACUCCGUGCCAGCAGCCGCGGUAAUACG